GAUGAACGCUAGCGGCAGGCUUAACACAUGCAAGUCGAGGGGUAUAGGUUUUCGGACCUAGAGACCGGCGCACGGGUUCGUAACGCGUAUGCAAUCUACCUUUCACAGAGGGAUAGCCCAGAGAAAUUUGGAUUAAUACCUCAUAGUAUAGCAGUUUCGCAUGAAACCACUAUUAAAGUUCCAACGGUGAAAGAUGAGCAUGCGUCCCAUUAGCUAGAUGGUAAGGUAACGGCUUACCAUGGCUACGAUGGGUAGGGGUCCUGUGAGGGAGCUCCCCCACACUGGUACUGAGACACGGACCAGACUCCUACGGGAGGCAGCAGCGAGGAAUAUUGGUCAAUGGACGCAAGUCUGAACCAGCCAUGCCGCGUGCAGGAUGACGGUCCUAUGGAUUGUAAACCGCUUUUGUACGAGAAGAAACAACAUUACGUGUAAUGUCUUGACGGUAUCGUAAGAAUAAGGAUCGGCUAACUCCGUGCCAGCCGCCGCGGUAAGAC
rnacentral:rRNA from 1 species